rnacentral:rRNA from 1 species
AUGGAGGCCGCCGUCGCGUACCUCCUCCUGCUCCCGCUCGCCACCUGCGCCGUGCUGCUCCCCCUCCUCCUGCUGCUGCUCCCGGCCCUUCGGCCGUCCAAGGCCAGCCGCCUCCCGCUGCCGCCGUCCCCGCCGGCCGUCCCGGUGCUCGGCCCGCUGCUCUGGCUCUGGCGCGCGCGCUCCUGCCUCGAGCCGGCCAUCCGCGACCUGCACCGCUGCCACGGGCCCGUGCUCACCCUCGGCUUCCUCUCCCCGCGACCGGCUAUCUUCGUCUCCGGACGCCGCGUCGCCCACCGCGCGCUCGUCCAGCGCGGGCACGCCUUCGCCAGCCGCCCGCCCGCCAUCGCGCCCUUCCUCGUCCUCACCUCCGCCCAGCGCACCGUCAGCUCCGCGCCAUACGGCCCGCUCUGGCGCUCUCUCAGGCGGAACCUCACCUCCGGCGUCCUCCACCCCGCGCGCGUCGCGCGCCUUUUCGCGCCGGCGCGGCGGUGGGCGCUCGGGAUCCUCGCCUCCGACCUCGAGAACGAGUUGUCCCGGAGCGAGGGCGGCGUGGUGACCGCCGUCGAGUGCCUCCAGUUCUCCAUGUUCUCGCUGCUCACGUACAUGUGCUUCGGGAGCAGACUGCCGGCCGGCCGCGUACGGAAGAUCGAGGCCGUGCAGAGGGAGCUCUUCUCCUCCUACAUCGGCUUCCAGGUCUUCGCCUUCUGCCCGGCGCUCACCACGAGGCUGUUUCGGCGGCGGUGGCGGAAGGUGCUGUCCAUCCGCAGUAAGCAGGAGGAGCUGUUCCUGCCACUGAUCAGAGCAAGAAGAGAACGGAGGCUGCUGACGGCUAACGGCGACGACGGCAGCCUAGCGUACUGCUACGUCGACACGCUCCUCGCGCACCGGCUCCCCAAGGAGGAAGAGGAUGGCGGCGACCGCGCGCUCACAGACGGCGAGAUGGUGAGCCUCUGCACGGAGUUCCUCACCGCUAGUGUCGACACCACGGUGACCGCGCUGCAGUGGAUCUUGGCGAACCUGGUCCGGCAGCCGGAGAUCCAGGCGAGGCUCCGGGAUGAGAUCGACGCGGCGAUGACCAACGACCACCAGGACGCCGUCGCGGAGGAGGACCUGUCGAGCAUGCACUACCUGAAGGCGGUGGUCCUGGAGGGGCUGCGGCGGCACCCGCCGGCGCACUUCCUGCUGUCGCACGCGGCCGUAACGGAGGCGUCGCUAGACGGGCUCCGCGUGCCGGCGGCCACGUCGGUGAACUUUUCGGUGGCGGACGUGUCACUGGACGAGGAGGUGUGGAGCCGGCCAGAGGAGUUCAGGCCGGAGCGAUUCCUGGAGGGCGGGGAGGGCUACGGGGUGGACCUGACGGGAAGCCGUGAGAUCAGGAUGAUGCCGUUCGGGGCCGGCCGGAGGAUCUGCCCCGGCCUCGGGCUGGCGAUGCUGCACCUCGAGUUCUUCGUGGCCAACCUGGUGAGGCGGUUCGAGUGGUCUGCGGCGGAGGAUGGCGGCGGCGUCGACCUCGCCGAGAGGCCGGAGUUCACGGUGACCAUGGAGCGGCCGCUGCGCGCGCGCGUGGCGCCCAGACGCCCCCGCCUAGUUCGCCCAGUCUGA